GUAGGUGAACCUGCGGAAGGAUCAUUAAAAAUAAGACGAGGUCAAUUGAUAAGUCUGGCUUCUCGCCGGACGUACGGUAAAAGUCCGUAGCCUCAUUUUGGUUUUACCAAAACUCUUCUGUGUACCUAUUACUUGUUGCUUCCCUGGGGUAACUCAGGGAAGGCAUACAUAUACUCUGUUUAUUGUAGUCAGUCUGAAUUUGUUUAUUUAUAAACGUUAAAACUUUCAACAACGGAUCUCUUGGUUCUC
rnacentral:misc_RNA from 1 species